AUUGAACCCUGGCGGCAGGCCUAACACAUGCAAGUCGAACGAGUGGCGGACGGGUGCGUAAUGUCUGGGAAACUGCCUGACGGAGGGGGAUAACUACUGGAAACGGUAGCUAAUACCGCAUACCAUCGGAUGUGCCCAGAUGGGAUUAGCUAGUUGGUGGGGUAACGGCUCACCAAGGCGACGAUCCCUAGCUGGUCUGAGAGGAUGACCAGCCACACUGGAACUGAGACACGGUCCGGACUCCUACGAGAGGCAGCAGUGGGGAAUAUUGCACAAUGGGCGCAAGCCUGAUGCGGCCAUGCCGCGUGUAUGAAGAAGGCCUUCGGGUUGUAAAGUACUUUCAGCGAGGAGGCGUUACUCGCAGAAGAAGCACCGGCUAACUCCGUGCCAGCAGCCGCGGUAAUUC
rnacentral:rRNA from 1 species